GAUCCUGGGUCAGGAUGAACGCUGGCGGUCUGCUUAACACAUGCAAGUCGAACGGAAGUAGCAAUACUUUAGUGGCGGACGGGUGAGUAACACGUAAGAACCUGCCUCUUGGCCGGGGACAACAGUUGGAAACGGCUGCUAAUCCCGGAUGAGCCGAAAGGUAAAAGAUUAAUCGCCAAGAGAGGGGCUUGCGUCUGAUUAGCUAGUUGGUAGUGUAAGAGACUACCAAGGCGACGAUCAGUAGCUGGUCUGAGAGGAUGAUCAGCCACACUGGGACUGAGACACGGCCCAGACUCCUACGGGAGGCAGCAGUGGGGAAUUUUCCGCAAUGGGCGAAAGCCUGACGGAGCAAGACCGCGUGGGGGAGGAAGGUUCUUGGAUUGUCAACCCCUUUUCUCAGGGAAGAAGAAAGUGACGGUACCUGAGGAAGAAGCAUCGGCUAACUCCGUGCCAGCAGCCGCGGUAAUACGGAGGAUGCAAGCGUUAUCCGGAAUGAUUGGGCGUAAAGAGUCCGUAGGUGGCCCUUCAAGUCUGCUGUUAAAGAGCGAGGCUUAACUUCGGAAAAGCAGUGGAAACUGGAGAGCUAGAGUGUAGUAGGGGCAGAGGGAAUUCCUGGUGUAGCGGUGAAAUGCGUAGAGAUCAGGAAGAACACCGGUGGCGAAAGCGCUCUGCUGGGCUACAACUGACACUGAGGGACGAAAGCUAGGGGAGCGAAUGGGAUUAGAUACCCCAGUAGUCCUAGCGGUAAACGAUGGAAACUAGGUGUGGCCUGUAUCGACCCGGGCCGUGCCGGAGCAAACGCGUUAAGUUUCCCGCCUGGGGAGUACGCACGCAAGUGUGAAACUCAAAGGAAUUGACGGGGGCCCGCACAAGCGGUGGAGUAUGUGGUUUAAUUCGAUGCAACGCGAAAAACCUUACCAGGACUUGACAUCUCUGGAAUCCGUCUGAAAGGGUGGAGUGCCUUAGGGAACCAGAAGACAGGUGCUGCAUGGCUGUCGUCAGCUCGUGUCGUGAGAUGUUGGGUUAAGUCCCGCAACGAGCGCAACCCUCGUCGUUAGUUGCCAUCAUUAAGUUGGGAACUCUAGCGAGACUGCCGGUGACAAACCGGAGGAAGGUGAGGAUGACGUCAAGUCAGCAUGGCCCUUACGUCCUGGGCGACACACGUACUACAAUGCUAAGGACAGAGAGCAGCCAACCCGCGAGGGAGAGCGAAUCUCAUAAACCUUGGCACAGUUCAGAUUGAAGCUUGCAACUCAGCUUCAUGAAGGAGGAAUCGCUAGUAAUCGCAGGUCAGCAUACUGCGGUGAAUCCGUUCCCGGGCCUUGUACACACCGCCCGUCACACCAUGGAAGUGAGCCACGCCCGAAGUCAUUACUCUAACCUGCAAGGGGGGAGGGUGCCGAAGGCAGGGCUGAUGACUGGGGUGAGUCGUAACAAGGUAGCCG
rnacentral:rRNA from 1 species